UGGGGAAUAUUGGACAAUGGGCGCAAGCCUGAUCCAGCCAUGCCGCGUGGAUGAUGAAGGCCCUAGGGUUGUAAAGUCCUUUUAACGGGGAAGAUAAUGACGGUACCCGGUGAAUAAGCCACGGCUAACUACGUGCCAGCAGCCGCGGUAAUACGUAGGUGGCAAGCGUUGUCCGGAUUUAUUGGGUUUAAAGGGUGCGUAGGCGGCCUAUUAAGUCAGUUCUGAAAUAUCCCGGCUUAACCGGGAGGGUGGGAUUGAUACUGAUGGGCUUGAGUGGAGUCGAGGUAGGCGGAAUUGACGGUGUAGCGGUGAAAUGCUUAGAUAUCGUCAAGAACACCGAUAGUGUAGACAGCUUACUAGACUUCAACUGACGCUGAGGCACGAAAGUGUGGGGAUCAAA
rnacentral:rRNA from 1 species